CUGUUAGUCAUAUGGGGAUAUUGUUAAAACUCAGACUCUUGAUUCAGGAGUGAGACCUGAGAUUUUGUAUUACUAACAAGUUCCCAGGUGCUGCUGCU
rnacentral:pre_miRNA from 1 species